CUUUAUGGCAGCUGUGCGCGGGACACCUUCGGGUGUGCCGGGCUCUCUCGGUACCGGUCGACCAACCUGCGUACAGCUGCCUCCUCA
rnacentral:antisense_RNA from 3 species